GGCCAUCGUCAACAACACAAAUAUGAUGCCAUGUGAAAAUAUAUUACGUUCAAAGCGUGUGUUAUUUUUUCUUCCGUUGCAACGCACGGGCUUUUUUGCUAGUAGUAUAUAUGUAUUGAAGCAACUAUUGCUGUCUAACCAAAAAUCAUCCACUAAAGUCCCAACAGACUCGGUCAGGCGACCAAAUCAAGUACAUAGCCUGGGGCGUAGUCCUUCCACCAGGUGCAGACCAGCCUUAUAGUCAAAGUCUGCUAAUUCAUGGGCCAUCCUAUUACACUCUCGGUUAACAAAACGAAAUUCAAAGGCAUCAAAAGACGCGCGACACAAGCCGCGUGCUUCUCUUAGCAGGACGCCGAUGCUGGACAGAUCAUAAUCGCCGGAGAUCAAGCCGUUGACGAGCUGCAGCGAGUCUGAUUCGAAAAGAAC
rnacentral:lncRNA from 1 species